rnacentral:rRNA from 1 species
UUCGCAAUGCCCGAAAGGGUGACGAAGCGACGCCGCGUGUGGGAAGAAGGCCUUCGGGUUGUAAACCACUGUCGGGAGUUAAGAAAUGCAAGAAUGUUAAUAGCGUUUUUGCUUGACUAAGGCUCCGGAGGAAGCCACGGCUAACUCUGUGCCAGCAGCCGCGGUAAUACAGAGGCGGCAAGCGUUGUCCGGAAUUAUUGGGCGUAAAGAGCACGUAGGCGGCUAUAUAAGUCGGUUGUGAAAGCCUUCCGCUCAACGGGAGAACAGCAUCCGAUACUGUAUGGCUUGAGUGUGGGAGGGGAGAGCGGAACUUCUGGUGGAGCGGUGAAAUGCGUAGAUAUCAGAAGGAACGCCGGCGGCGAAAGCGGCUCUCUGGCCCAUAACUGACGCUGAGUGUGCGAAAGCUAGGGGAGCAAACGGGAUUAGAUACCCCGGUAGUCCUAGCCGUAAACGAUGGGCACUAAGUAGAGGGGUUUU